ACCCCAGGUGAUCACGUAGCAGACAACAAGAAAGGGGGUGUCGAGCCCACCCAGUGGUUUGUCAGUGUGAUGCCACCCCACUUGGCACUACCCUUCAGGCGUCUCGUCUGGUCCUUGGCCUCCAGUCAGCUGAUUCCCAGAAGGCACAGGGGACAUAGCCUCCUGCCUACCGCUUCAGAGGCCCACACAGAUGGGCGUGCCCCGGUGUUCAUCCGGGCCCUGGCCUUUGGGGACAGGAUCGCCCUUAUUGACAAAUAUGGCUGUCACACCUACAGGGAACUGUAUGACCGCAGUCUUUCCCUGGCCCAGGAGAUCUGCAGGCUUCGGGGUUGUAAGGUUGGGGACCUCCAGGAAGAGAGGGUCUCCUUCCUGUGCUCCAAUGACGUCUCCUAUGUUGUAGCACAGUGGGCCUCCUGGAUGAGUGGUGGUAAUGCUGUCCCACUGUACUGGAAGCACCCUGAGGCCCAGCUGGAGUAUUUCAUCCAGGACUCCCGGAGUUCUGUGAUUGUGAUAGGCCAGGAGUACGAGAAGCAGCUAAGUCCACUGGCUCAGAGGCUGGGAGUCCCUCUUCUGCCUCUCACGCCUGCCAUCUACCGUGGAACAGCAGAGAAGCCCACAGAGCUGCCAGUUCAAGAGAGGGAGUGGCGUGACAGUGGUGCUAUAAUCUUCUACACCAGCCAGACCACGGGGCGGCCCAAGGGUGCACUGAGCACCCACCGUAACCUAGCCGCUGUAGUGACAGGGCUGGUCCACUCAUGGGCAUGGACAAAAAACGAUGCGAUCCUUCACAUCCUCCCACUGCACCAUGUCCACGGCGUGGUGAACAAGCUGCUCUGUCCACUUUGGGUAGGAGCCACCUGUGUCAUGCUGCCAGAGUUCAGUGCUCAGCAGGUUUGGGAAAAGUUCUUGAGUUCUGAAGCUCCGCAGAUUAACGUAUUCAUGGCAGUGUCCACAGUCUACAGCAAGCUGCUGGAUUACUAUGACAAGCAUUUCACGCAGCCUCAUGUCCAGGAUUUUGUGCGUGCAGUUUGUAAGGAAAGAAUUAGGCUGAUGGUGUCAGGCUCAGCUGCUCUGCCUGUCCCACUGCUGGAGAAGUGGAGGAGCGCCACGGGCCACACACUUCUGGAGCACUAAGGCAUGACAGAGAUCGGCAUGGCCUUAUCCAACCCACUGACGGAGGCUCGAGUGCCAGGUUCUGUGGGGACCCCAUUGCCAGGAGUGGAAGUACGCAUCAUCUCAGAAAACCCGCAGAAGGGCUCCCCCUACACCAUCCAUGGAGAGGGAAAUGAGAGGGGGACAAAGGUGACCCCAGGGUUUGAGGAAAAGGAAGGGUAGCUGCUAGUUAGAGGACCCUCUGUGUUUCGGGAAUACUGGGAUAAGCCCAAAGAAACGAAAAGUGCUUUCACUUCAGAUGGCUGGUUCAGAACAGGAGACACUACCAUGUUCAAGGAUGAUAGGUACUGGAUCCGAGGGCAUACAUCAGUGGACAUCAUCAAGACUGGAGGCUAUAAAGUCAGUGCCCUGGAGAUCGAGCGGCACCUGCUGGCCCACCCCAGCAUCACAGAUGUCGUUGUAAUUGGAGUUCCGGAUCUGACAAGGGGCCAGCGGGUCACAGCUAUGGUAGUUCUUCAAGAAGAACAUUCAUUGUCCCACAGGGAUCUCAAGGAGUGGGCCAGAGGUGUCCUGGCCCCCUAUGCUGUGCCAUCGGAGCUCCUACUGGUGGAAGAGAUCCCACUGAACCAGAUGGGCAAGGUGAAUAAGAAGGAACUGCUCAGGCAGUUCUACCCCUCAUGA